GCUGCUAUUGCGCCUUUUUUUCGUAUAUCCUUAAUAAUUGGGUUAAGGGUCUCUACUGGAAACCGUAAAUUUCUUGCUACGAAAAAUAUGCUUUGAACU
rnacentral:ncRNA from 2 species